GGUUGGAAGUGGUGUCCCUGAGGCACCUGCUCGCCCUUUUCCUGCGCCUCCGCAACGUCGGCUGCGAAUGAGUCUCCUAAAGGACGCCCGGGAGGAUCGGAAACAGCCGAGUCCCGGCGCGGGCAGUGUCCUGCGCUCCUCCCCGGGGUCUGGCCGGGGUGGGCCCGAGGCCCCCGGGCCCCCGGUUACCGCCGCGGGCGCGUCUGCGUCCUGACCCGGAGGGACCCGCGGGCCGGGCCGUACCAGGUGGCGCUGGGGUUAGGGUUGCCGCCACGGAAGCCCAGCUCUGUGGACGCCUGCAGGGCGCCCUCACCGCCCGGGACGGGGGACCCAGCCCAGCCGCAGGGGAAGGACUGGGGCUCGCGGGGACGGAGGGCGGUUAGGAUUGCUGGAUACAACACGGAACGCCCAAUUAACGUUUUUGUUUAACGUGUUUUUUGUAGAGAUGGGGUCUCGCUAUGUUGCCCAGGCUGGUCUUGAACUCCUGGCCUCAAGCGAUCCUCCCGCCUCGGCCUCCAGAGUAGCUGGGACUAGAGGCCUGAGACAGCACGCCCGGCUCAGUUAAGAUUUUAAAACAGAUUUGUUGAAAUAUAAUGCACUUACUGUGAAAUUCACUUAUUGAAAGCUUAUGGCUUUGCCGUAUAUUCGGAGAUGGGCGGCCAUGCUCACUAUCUCAUGUGACACCGUUUCUGUUGCCCCAGAAAGAAACCCCGUGCCCAUGAGCGUUCACUCCCCACCCUGCCCACGGCCCAGCAAAUCUGCUUCAGCCCCUAUAGAUUUACCUCUACCGCGUUGGGCAUGUACUAAAAAUUGUUUAUCUGAAGUACAGAUUUAUCGGCAUCCCAUAUUUUUAUUUGCUAAUUCUGGCCAUCCUAAAGGUGGCAUCGCUCGCUCUGACCAAGGAAGCCUCAAGCAGGCAGGCACGAGAGUCCAUCCCUAGCCCUGCCUGGCCCCUCAGAGCCCAUCCCUGGCCCUGCCUGGCUCCUCAGAGCUGUCCCUGGCAGGCUCCGGGCUCAGGUGCGCUGCCAGGAGGGGGGCAGUGAGGGCUGUUUUAGGUAUAACAAUCCUGGAUAUUUCCUGAGUAUCUUGUCCGAAUGGUUCCUCUUUCUGUAUUUUCUAGCUUCCUCUGUAUAUUUAAAAAUGGUCUUAUUGGUGUGUUUCUUCACGACAUUUCAAUUUUUUGUUAUCAUUUCCCACAAUUUCAGUGAUGCAAGAUGGUCCUUUCUGAGCAGAGCUCCCCUCGCUCAGUGCUCCUUUGUUUCACGUAGAAGAUCUUCUUGAGGGGACUGUGUGGCCAGUGCAGCCCAGGCCUCCCCACCCUGCACCGUUCAACAGAAGAGCAGCUGACGCAGGGGGCCCUCAACAUGCUCACCCAAAAGUCAGCGAGAUUCUGCACCGGCCCACUAGCCUUCCAAUUGUAAACUAAAAAUAAAAUCUUGGCCAGGCACGGUGGCUCAUGCCUGUAAUCCCCGCACUUUGGGAGGCAGAGGCAGGUGGAUCACCCUGAGGUCAGGGGUUCGAGACCAGCCUGGCCAACAUGGCAAAACCCCGUCUCUACUAAAAAUACAUAAAAAUUAGCCAGGCGUGGUGGCACACACCUGUAAUUCCAGCUACUCGGGAGGCUGAGGCAGGAAAAUCGCUUGAACCUGGGAGGCAGAGGUUGCAGUGACCUGAGAUCGUGCCACUGCACUCCAGCCUGGGUGACAAUGAGACUCCAUCUCAAAAAAAAAAAAGAAAAAAAAAUCCUAAGCCCCCCAACUACUGAAAAGACCCCUCUUGGCCAAGGGGUCCCAGAGACACCUUAAAAACUGAGUUUCCAGCCAGACGUGGUGGCUCACACCUGUAAUCCCAGCAUUUUGGGAGGCCAAGGCGGGUGGAUCACCUGAGGUCAGGAGUUCGAGACCAGCCUGGCCAACAUGGCAAAACCCCGUCUCUACUAAAAAUACAAAAAAAUUAGCCAGGUGUGGUGGUGGAUGCUUGUAAUUUCAGCGACUCUGGAGGCUGAGGCAGGAAAAUUGCUUGAAUCUGUUUCAGUGAGCCAAGAUCGUACCACUGCACUCCAGCCUGGGCAACAGAGUGAGACUCCAUCUCAAAAAAAAAAGCCAAAAAACUGAGUUUCCAGCCGUGACGGGAUGGUAGGUCAGAGGCACCUCAUUCUACCCCCUCCCUUGUGUGGUUUAGACAGAAUUGACCGGUGUUCAUGUUAAAAUAGAGAUCAUAAGACUAAGAACAGGCUCUGUGGCAAUAAAAUACCAAAUUAUAAACAGGACCUCAGGCCAGGCCUGGUGAAAGUAAGUCGUGCAUCCCUGCACGUGAAGAAUCAACUCUGUUCUAAAGGCCGCAGGUUUCUCUUUUUCUGUAGCAGCUAAACAAGCACUAGCCUCAAGAUAAGCAGCAUUGAAACAACCGCAGCUCCUCCCCCUGCCGACCCUGGCCCCACACCCCUGCUCCACCAGCCGUAACUAGAGCUUUCCUUGGACAAGAGACUCGUUUCAGUAACUUUUCCCUGAUAAGAGACCCUGACCAUAGACGGGUUCUGGCUGGUUUACAGAGAUUGCACCCUCAUGUGCCUUCAUGUCCUGAAAGUACUUUUUGAGGUAUACCACCUAAUUGUAAUACGCUUACAUGCUGCCUUCACCCCAAGGUGAACAUGGGUCAUAUGUAACAUGCAUGUUUAUCCAGCACACGUGUCCGAAUAAACAUGCAUGUAUAUUCGCAACGCCUCCUGUAACUUGUUGAGUAUGUAUACCUGACCAACCCAUUCGGCUUACAUUCCUGUCUCACCGCACCCUCCCUCCAAGUACCUGUCUCUGGCCUUAGGCUGGAGGCCACACUUCCUAGCCUGUCAGAAUGGCCACCUUACAGGCUAUAAGACUUUAUAAGAAGUAAAGUCUCCUUUCUGAGUGUAUAGAUCUUGUGAUUUUUAACUUAAC
rnacentral:lncRNA from 1 species